rnacentral:lncRNA from 1 species
ACGGGGAAGGGGCUUUAAUUUUUUUAUUUUAUUUCUGACGGAAGUGUUAGGUUUUUCUUAGGUUUAUUUUUGUUUUAUUGGUGGGUUUUGAAACGUCGCCAUUUGUAGCUAAUGUGACAGCUUCAAAACGGCGUCGUCUGAGUGCCCUCGACCCGCGUAAUGACCCGACCCAAGGGAAGGAUCCGCGCGUUUCGGGUCUGAU